CUUUGACUGAAGGAGGCCACCAAGCUGGAUGACCUGGAGCUAUGGCAAAGAGCUAGUGGGAGUGGAGUUGGGAAAGGCCUGAACCACAAAGAUAUUUUGACUUUCCUGUAGGGCCCUGUGAGCCAAUGGGGAGCCAACCUGGAGGACUUCUGAAGGGACACCACUGCCCACAUCAAGGAGCAGGAAAGCAGGGUGCUCUAGCAGAUGUCUGAGUUGCAGAGGGCGACAACACAGUCUCAUAUCAGAGGGUAGAACUUCACAUCUUGAGCAACUACGGUCACCCUGAGUAUACCUGCAUUUACUCAUCUGGGUCCAUGGGAAGUAUGCCAAUUAGCCCCU